GUAAGUCAUCGAUGACCACUCUAAAAAUAGAUCGAUCGCAUUAAAGGUAAAAUACCAAUUCAUGAAUCUUUAGUACAAACACGCAAGAAGAAGUUCUUGGUUGUAAACUAGGAAGUGAUACAGGUGACAUAGACUACAGCAGAUUGACGGGGAUGGAGGGGAGUAGACCGGGUGUUACCGAGGAUUUAGCCACCCUCGCCAACCUAGACGGCAAGGUGCUACUCAACGAACUCAAAGUGCGAUACACGGAAAACAAUAUCUAUACUUACGUUGGAGAUAUUCUGGUUGCGAUCAAUCCCUACAGACCACUUCAUAUCUAUGGAGAAGAAGAAACGCAGAAAUACUAUUUGGAAAAGAAAAGUGCAAAUCCACCUCACAUAUUUGCAAUAGCUGACUCUGCAUACCAGUGUAUGCUUGGAUAUGGUGGACGAAUUCCUAGAAACCAGUGCAUUCUUAUCAGUGGUGAAAGUGGAGCAGGUAAAACUGAAAGUACAAAGCUGAUCAUUAAACAGCUGAUUGAGUUAUGUCGGGGAAACACUCAGCUGGAACAGCAGAUUCUACAGGUCAACCCAUUGUUGGAAGCAUUUGGAAAUGCCAGAACAGCCAUGAACGACAACUCCAGUCGCUUUGGGAAAUACAUCCAGCUGCUAUUUUGUGAAGGACAUGUUACUGGUGCCAAAAUCUCUGAAUACCUAUUGGAAAAAUCUAGAGUGGUCCAUCAAAAUAAAGAGGAGGAAAACUUUCACAUAUUCUACUACAUGUUUGGGGGAUUAUCAGCUGAGCAGAGAAAAGAAUAUAACUUACUUCCACCUGAAAAACAAAGGUACUUUUCAAAUGGUGCUGAUUGUCUGAAACGAGAACCCACCCACUUUAAAAAGCAGUAUGAGGAGCUGGUGAAUGCCAUGGACCUGGUGGGCUUUACAGACGAGGAAGAAGAGAAUCUCUUCAGUAUUAUUGCAGGGGUCCUUCAUCUGGGAAAUGUGACCUUUGACAUGGAUGAUAACGAUGCAUCUUUUGUAGAGGAUGAAAAUGGUCCAAUCAAAAUGGCUGCUAAGGUCCUAGGAAUAGGAGGGGAGGAGUUGAUUGGUACUCUAACAAAUAUGGUGACCUUCACACGAGGAGAACAGGUCAAGCGGCACUACACAAAGGCUAUGGCUGAAGAUGCAAGGGAUGCUAUGAGUAAAUCCCUGUAUGGCAGAUUGUUUGGAUGGAUUGUCAACAAAAUCAACCAACUACUGGCUCAAAGGGAUCAGUCGGACAUUGAACCAAGAGAAAUAGGCAUACUAGAUAUAUUUGGUUUUGAACACUUUGAAAAGAACAGUUUUGAACAAGCCUGUAUAAACCUUGCAAAUGAACAGCUACAAUUCUUCUUUAAUCAGCAUGUAUUCAAAAUGGAGCAGGAGGAAUACAUAAGAGAAGGGAUUGAUUGGAAAGAAAUUAAAUUUGUAGACAACCAACCAUUAUUGGAUCUCUUCCUGAACAAACCAAUCGGAAUUUUAUCCCUUCUAGAUGAAGAAAGUCAUUUUCCUAAGGGUACAGACCAAUCCCUUGUGGAAAAGCUGAACAUUCACUUUGGAGGGAAUAGUUAUUACGGAAAAUCAGCUCAGUCAAACUCCCGCAAGUUUUCUAUCAACCAUUAUGCAGGAAAGGUAACAUACGAUGCCAGCAGGUGGCUGGAGAAAAACCGAGACACGCUUCCCCCAGGACUGAUAGAAAUGUUACAGAGCAGCUCAAAUGAUCUUGUUAAACUCAUCUUCAGAGGACAGAUCACAAGAACUGGUAGUUUAGCACUUCAGGCAAGGAAAUCCACCAGAACAACUAGACGGAGCAAGAAGCCACCAACAGCAGGUAGUCAUGGUGGACGGAAGAGGAAACAGACGGUAGGAGGACAAUUUAAGACCUCCCUGAGUAUUCUGAUGGAGAGAAUGAUGUCCUCAUCCCCAGUGUUUGUACGAUGUCUGAAGCCAAAUCAUGUCAAAGUCCCAGGAAAGUUUGAUGAUAGCUACAUACAAGACCAAUUAUUGUACACUGGUAUGUUGGAGACCAUUAAGAUUAGAAGAGAAGGGUUUGCAGUAAGGCCAUCAUUUGCAGAAUUUGUAGAAAAAUACAAAAUUAUUGUAUGUGAAGCAGCAUUACCAGGGACAAAAGAAAAUUGUUAUAAAAUUCUAAAGGCCAGCAAAAUAGCUGGCUGGCAGAUAGGCAAAACUAAGGUUUUCAUGAAAUACUUUCAUUUAGAACAGCUUUCAGAUGUUUUAAAAACAAUGGGUGUUUCUGCCAUAAAAAUUCAGAAAGUGGUAAGGGGAUUUAUUGGUCGUCAGGAAUACAAGCGAAGACUUGCUAAAGCUAAAAGUGAAGCAGAAAGAUUAAAGCAUUUGGCUGAUGAUAUUUAUAACCUUAACAUUCAUCUGUGUAAUCAACUGCAGAUAGCCAAACAAAAUGAUGAUAAUAUUCCAUCUAGUUUCUUUGGUGUUCCUGAUGGCUCUGACCUUCCACCAAUCCCUGAUUUCACUGAUGUUCAGUCUGUACAGAUGAGUACCAGGAGUUAUGAAAAACCAGCACCAAAAAAGACUUUUCAUGAAAUGGGCACCCAGGCAUUGGGUAUGGUGGGUUUCAAACUUGCGGAAGUUAGCUCCUCAGAUUCAGAGUUUUCAGAGGAUGAAUUCAAGCCUGUGUCCUCCCACAAUUUUGGUACCCCAGGGACCAGGAUGGCCACGGUGCGAUGGUUCAAAGAGACCCAGACUCAUCAGGUCUAUGAUCCUAUCAAUGUCAGCGGAAAUUUUAUUGCAGAGUGGUUCCAUGGUGUCAUUAGUCGCAGAGAGUCAGAAACCUUGUUAAAAGGAAAACCAAGAGGCUGUUACCUUAUUCGAGUCAGCGAAAGCAGAUUUGGUUACACAUUAUCUUUUAGUGGGGGAGAUCGAACAAGACAUUACAUGAUUGAUCAGCUUCCAAACAAGAAGUAUAUAAUUAUUGGGGAACCUAAGGUCCACAGAAAUCUGAAGGAUCUGGUGGAAUAUCAUAAAAACGUUAAGAUAUCCAACUGGAAUGGUUACCUUACAGAACCAUGUGGGCAGGAACAUGGUGUGUGUGACUACCAGGAAUUGGUCGGAGACAAUAUGUACUUCAAACUGGAAGAAAACUCCCAGAAUAAAUCUAGUCAUCAAGCUACAAGAAAUCCACAGAGAAGGGGUGCAUCUCGCACAAACCGAGUCCAAGAAAAUCAGACCAGCAAUAGUCAAGUGACUUCAAAUGACUCAGCCCCUCCAGUUCCAGAGCGCAGUUACUCUAUGGCUAAACCUGUUCAACCACAGGCUUCGGUUAUGAGUAACCGCCCCCUUCCUAGGAGACCUGAUGAGGCAUAUCAAAGGCUUCUUAAAAAUCAGACCAAACAGCAUGAGUAUCACUGAAGAAAUGGCAAAAAACUUUCGUGAUCAUACUUCAUUUCUCAUUAAGGACCUUGGACGAUUUAAACAACAGAUAUGAUAAACCUUACUGUACCAUAUCACAGAUCCAUGACAUAUUAAAUUAGUUCUUUAUUUAGUCUUAUGUUUGUGUGUAAUAAAUACAUGUAUAUUUCACAUAUCAGAUCUUUUUCUUUUGUUUGUUUUGUUUGAAAUGAAACAUAUUAUUUUGUCUUUGAAAUGAAUAUCAUAGUAUCUGAAGAAUAAAAUUCUCCCCAGAAUCAAUACAUAUCAAAGCUUUAAUUCCUUGUGAAAGGAAUGUUUUAUUGCGUAAAAUAUAUUAUGAAUAAAUGAUAAUAAUACAUGUGUGAAUUUUCUGUUGACAUUAAGUGUCCAUUGUCAUUCUUUUGUGCAAUAGGUCUUAAAUUAAUGACAAAUAUGCAUAUAUUAAGUAAACUUCAGGUUUGACCUUCAUUUACAACCUA